UACGUAGGGUGCGAGCGUUAAUCGGAAUUACUGGGCGUAAAGCGUGCGCAGGCGGUUGGUUAAGUCUGAUGUGAAAGCCCCGAGCUCAACUUGGGAAUGGCAUUGGAAACUGGCUGGCUAGAGUGUGGCAGAGGGGGGUGGAAUUCCGCGUGUAGCAGUGAAAUGCGUAGAGAUGCGGAGGAACACCGAUGGCGAAGGCAGCCCCCUGGGCUGACACUGACGCUCAGGCACGAAAGGCGUGGGGAGCAAACAGG
rnacentral:rRNA from 1 species